GACGAACGCUGGCGGCGUGCUUAACACAUGCCAGUCGAACGGAAAGGCCCUGCUUUUGUGGGGUGCUCGAGUGGCGAACGGGUGAGUAACACGUGAGUAACCUGCCCUUGACUUUGGGAUAACUUCAGGAAACUGGGGCUAAUACCGGAUAGGAGCUCCUGCUGCAUGGUGGGGGUUGGAAAGUUUCGGCGGUUGGGGAUGGACUCGCGGCUUAUCAGCUUGUUGGUGGGGUAGUGGCUUACCAAGGCGUUGACGGGUAGCCGGCCUGAGAGGGUGACCGGCCACAUUGGGACUGAGAUAAGGCCCAGACUCCUACGGGAGGCAGCAGUGGGGAAUAUUGCACAAUGGGCGGAAGCCUGAUGCAGCAACGCCGCGUGCGGGAUGACGGCCUUCGGGUUGUAAACCGCUUUCGCCUGUGACGAAGCGUGAGUGACGGUAAUGGGUAAAGAAGCACCGGCUAACUACGUGC
rnacentral:rRNA from 1 species